rnacentral:rRNA from 1 species
UGGGGGAUAUUGCACAAUGGGGGAAACCCUGAUGCAGCAACGCCGCGUGAGGGAAGAAGGUUUUCGGAUUGUAAACCUCUGUCCAAAGGGAAGAAAAAGAUGACGGUACCUUUGGAGGAAGCUCCGGCUAACUACGUGCCAGCAGCCGCGGUAAUACGUAGGGAGCAAGCGUUGUCCGGAAUUACUGGGUGUAAAGGGUGCGUAGGCGGCCGUAAGGGUCAGACGUGAAAUAUAUGGGCUUAACCCAUAGACUGCGUUUGAAACUAUAUGGCUUGAGUGAAGUAGAGGCAGGCGGAAUUCCCU